GAUGAACGCUGGCGGCGUGCCUAAUACAUGCAAGUCGAGCGAACAGACGAGGAGCUUGCUCCUUCGACGUUAGCGGCGGACGGGUGAGUAACACGUAGGUAACCUACCUAUAAGACUGGGAUAACUUCGGGAAACCGGAGCUAAUACCGGAUAAUAUUUCGAACCGCAUUGUUCGAUAGUGAAAGAUGGCUUUGCUAUCACUUAUAGAUGGACCUGCGCCGUAUUAGCUAGUUGGUAAGGUAACGGCUUACCAAGGCAACGAUACGUAGCCGACCUGAGAGGGGGAGCGGCCACACUGGAACUGAGACACGGUCCAGACUCCUACGGGAGGCAGCAGUAGGGAAUCUUCCGCAAUGGGCGAAAGCCUGACGGAGCAACGCCGCGUGAGUGAUGAAGGUCUUCGGAUCGUAAAACUCUGUUAUUAGGGAAGAACAAACGUGUAAGUAACUGUGCACGUCUUGACGGUACCUAAUCAGAAAGCCACGGCUAACUACGUG
rnacentral:rRNA from 1 species